rnacentral:rRNA from 1 species
GACGUAGGGGACGAGCGUUGUCCGGAUUUAUUGGGCGUAAGGCGCGCGCAGGCGGCUUGGUAAGUCGGGUGUGAAAAUCCGAGGCUCAACCUCGGACGUGCACCUGAAACUGCCAGGCUAGAGGUAGGUAGGGGAGAUCGGAAUUCCUGGUGUAGCGGUGAAAUGCGCAGAUAUCAGGAGGAACACCGGUGGCGAAGGCGGCCUUCUGGACGGAUACUGACGCUGAGGCGCGACAGCGUGGGGAGCAAACAGG